ensembl:lncRNA
AGUUUUGCCACUUUUGGAGCAGACUGUCUUCUGUGUUCUUUGCAGCAGUGUGAGGUUGUGCUAAUCAGUUCAGAACAGCUGGGGCAGUAAUAAGAGCUCUCACAGGCUAUAUUCCCUGGCAAUGGAUUGUCAUCCAGAAGAAACAGCCUGAAACCAAAGGCACAGUAUUAAUGUAUAACUGCUGUACAGACAGGAAUAGUAUACUGUUAUGUAUUCAGGGUGUUGAAAGUGUUCUUAAAGGUGUCAGGUUUUCAAUUUUAUAAUACUUUCUCCUAACUUAGUUUAAUGCAGGAAGAGCUGAGCGAAAGGAGUAUUGCCACAAGUAGCAAAGAUAUUACUUUAACCUCAAAGCUGUUCAGGCUGAGUACAUUUGACAAAUGUUAAUGUUCAAUUGACUUGACAACAUUAAGAAAGUUGUAGUCAUUCAUCAGAUGUGUUUAGAUGUCAAUUUGUGCCAUCUAUGGUCAAGAGAAAAAGUUAAGUAAAAUGUGUGUGUCUCUGGAAAAUUAAGGUUAAACCACUGAUGUCACAUGUACUAUUUUAACAAUGUCCUUACUACGUUUCUCCGCCUGGGAACAUUUCAGUUACAUUGCUGUCUAUGGAGGGUUUUGAUUUCAUCAAAAAUAUCUUCUUAAUUUGUGUUUCAAAGAUCUUACGGGUUUGGAAUGACAUGAGGGUGAGUAAUUAAUGACAGAUUUCAGAAGUCUUUGAUAUUCUUUAAAACCUAUUUAAAUGAGGGAAAUCUUCCGGUGCUUCUUGUCCCUUGUUUUUUUCGUUGUGUGCUAUAACUAGCUAAUAAAUAGCGCAGUAGCGUUGACAGUCCUAAAACAGUAUUUCAGGAAUCAUGUUGUGGGUCCUCAUCACUAUUUUGAGUCAGUUCUUUUCAAUGAAUCAAUUUGAAUUCGAACAGCUCACGCACACUCAUUCGCUUACAAUGUCUUUUCAAAUAUUAAAAACAUUAAUGGUAUAACUUUCAGUACUUCCGAACAAAGAAGUUCUUCAUCACAUUCAACACCCGCACAUGCAGCAAGCAAACGACUUUGGACUGCAGACCCUACAGAGCUUCUGAUCUGUUCCUGUGUCUGUGCAGCUGCGAGUUUCAAGCAGAUGAAAGACUGGAGUCCCUGUAAGUGCAUGAUUGCUUUGUCCUUGAACCCUGCGGUUGCAUGAUAUGUCCCAGAGGCUGUGAGAUCUCUGUGUAAUCCUCUCUAUAGGCACACAUCCUUGUGGAGUGUGGCCCAGCAAGCUGGGCAUUUUAUUGUUUUUGUAGUGCACAUCGCUUGUCUAAUGCCAGCAUGGUCAAAGAGCAAUUAUAUGACAGCCCUCCAGUUCUUCCUCCAGUUCUUCCUUCAGUUCUUCCUUCCUCAUUGUUUCUCUAGAGUGCAUUAAUGCAUCUCUUGUCAGGCACAAGAUGUUUUAUAGACAUUUACACCUUGAUAUAACAGAUUUAUUUGAACAAAAACAGUUUGUUUUGAUAAUGCAUCAUUUUUAUGCCGUGUCAUGUUAGCAGAUUUUCCAAGAUAAAUGGGAUGUCGAUCUGUCUAGCAUGUAUGUGCAUCACAUACAGUUUGAAUGUUGGAUGCUGCUGUAUGUCACCAUGGAAACAUCCCAUGCUGUGAUUUUCCUUUUGUAUGAGGGCGUU